CUUUUUUUCAUACUAUACAUAAGUACGCGAAUCACAAAGAAGAGAGAAAACCACAAAGGCACUUAAAAAAAAAACAGAACUGCAGCCUAUUCCUUAAAAGUGUUUUGCUGUAGAAUGCUAAAGUCUUGAAUUUCAAUCAUGUGGAAAGUGAGUUUUUGGUUUGAAAAACAAGCCAAUCACAGCGCACUAAUGGCAAGUCUUACAUGAAUUGG